UGAAUGAUCUUCACAGCUCUCCAUUCACAAGAACCCAAACGCAUCGGAGCCUAAGCACCUGCUAGUGAUGAAGGGCGCCCCAGAAAGGAUCCUGGACCGAUGCAGUUCUAUCCUCCUCCACGGCAAGGAGCAGCCCCUGGACGAAGAGCUGAAGGACGCCUUUCAGAAUGCCUACCUAGAGCUGGGGGGCCUUGGAGAGCGUGUGCUAGGUAUGCAGGUGACCGCCAUGGCUCCUGAGCACAGCUGUGUCAAGCACAGCGAUCUCCGUGUUCUCGGGGUGUUCCUCUUAACGUAGGGGAGCCACGCUGCUGAUUACAUUGUUUAAAGCAGAGGUGUGGAGAAAUAAUGGUUAUAUUGGCAAACAGUGUUGUUGCUUGGCUGACCUGUGGCUUCACGAUACUCAGUUCUAUAUGGCAGGA
rnacentral:lncRNA from 1 species